GGCCUCGUAGCUCAGUUGGCAGAGCAUUGGACUAGUAUCCCAAAGGUCGCGGGUUCGAUUCCCACCGUGGUCA
rnacentral:tRNA from 1 species